AUUGAACGCUGGCGGCAGGCCUAACACAUGCAAGUCGAGCGAGCGGCGGACGGGUGAGUAAUGUCUGGGAAACUGCCUGAUGGAGGGGGAUAACUACUGGAAACGGUAGCUAAUACCGCAUACCAUCAGAUGUGCCCAGAUGGGAUUAGCUAGUAGGUGGGGUAAUGGCUCACCUAGGCUACGAUCCCUAGCUGGUCUGAGAGGAUGACCAGACACACGGGAACGUGUACACGGUCCAGACUCCUACGGGAGGAAGCAGGGGGGAAUAUUGACAAAUGGGCGCAAGCCUGAGGCAGCCAUGCCGCGUGUGUGAAGAAGGCCUUCGGGUUGUAAAGCACUUUCAGCGGGGAGGCGUUACCCGCAGAAGAAGCACCGGCUAACUCCGUGCCAGCAGCCGCGGUAAUAC
rnacentral:rRNA from 1 species